GAGAUCGGGAUAACACCUGGAAACAAGAUGCUAAUACCGGAUAACAACAGAUGAUGCCUAUCAACUGUUUAAAAGAUGGUUCUGCUAUCACUCUUGGAUGGACCUGCGGUGCAUUAGCUAGUUGGUAGGGUAACGGCCUACCAAGGCGAUGAUGCAUAGCCGAGUUGAGAGACUGAUCGGCCACAUUGGGACUGAGACACGGCCCAAACUCCUACGGGAGGCAGCAGUA
rnacentral:rRNA from 1 species